rnacentral:rRNA from 1 species
GAUGAACGCUAGCGGGAGGCUUAACACAUGCAAGUCGAGGGGCAGCAUAGGGUAGCAAUACUCUGAUGGCGACCGGCAAACGGGUGAGUAACGCGUAUGUAACCUACCCUGUACAGGGGGAUAACCCGGAGAAAUUCGGACUAAUAUCCCAUAACAAUAUCCGGGGGCAUCUUUGGAUAUUUAAAGUUCCGGCGGUACGGGAUGGGCAUGCGUAACAUUAGCUAGUUGGUAAGGUAACGGCUUACCAAGGCUUUGAUGUUUAGGGGUCCUGAGAGGGUGGUCCCCCACACUGGUACUGAGACACGGACCAGACUCCUACGGGAGCAGCAGUGAGGAAUAUUGGUCAAUGGGCGCAAGCCUGAACCAGCCAUCCCGCGUGCAGGAAGACGGCGCUAUGCGUUGUAAACUGCUUUUCCAGGGAGAGAAACUUGCGCACGUGUUGCGCAAUUGACGGUACCCUGGGAAUAAGCAAUCGGCUAACUCCGUGCCAGCAGCCGCGGUAAAACGUGCGUG